rnacentral:rRNA from 1 species
GACGAACGCUGGCGGCGUGCUUAACACAUGCAAGUCGAACGGUGAAGCUCCAGCUUGUUGGAGUGGAUCAGUGGCGAACGGGUGAGUAACACGUGAGCAACCUGCCCCAGACUCUGGAAUAAGCGCUGGAAACGGCGUCUAAUACUGGAUACGAGAUCAAGCCGCAUGGUUAUGGUCUGGAAAGUAUUUCGGUUUGGGAUGGGCUCGCGGCCUAUCAGCUUGUUGGUGAGGUAAUGGCUCACCAAGGCGACGACGGGUAGCCGGCCUGAGAGGGCGACCGGCCACACUGGGACUGAGACACGGCCCAGACUCCUACGGGAGGCAGCAGUGGGGAAUAUUGCACAAUGGGCGAAAGCCUGAUGCAGCGACGCCGCGUGAGGGAUGACGGCCUUCGGGUUGUAAACCUCUUUCAGCAGGGAAGAAGCGAAAGUGACGGUACCUGCAGAAGAAGCACCGGCUAACUACGUG